rnacentral:rRNA from 1 species
UACGUAGGGGGCGAGCGUUGUCCGGAUUUAUUGGGCGUAAAGAGCGUGUAGGCGGUUCGGUAAGUCUGUCGUGAAAUUCUGAGGCUCAACCUCGGGCGUGCGAUGGAUACUGCCCGACUAGAGGUAGGUAGGGGAGAUCGGAAUUCCUGGUGUAGCGGUGAAAUGCGCAGAUAUCAGGAGGAACACCGGUGGCGAAGGCGGAUCUCUGGGCCUUACCUGACGCUGAGGCGCGAAAGCUAGGGGAGCAAACAGG